rnacentral:rRNA from 1 species
GUGCCAGCCGCCGCGGUAAUACGGAGGGGGCAAACGUUGUUCGGAAUUACUGGGCGUAAAGGGUGCGUAGGCGGUUCGGUAAGUCUAGCGUGAAAUCUCGUCGCUUAACGACGAAACUGCGCUGGAUACUGCUGAGCUCGAGGGUGGGAGAGGCUAGUGGAAUUCCUGGUGUAGCGGUGGAAUGCGUAGAUAUCAGGAAGAACACUCGUGGCGAAGGCGGCUAGCUGGCCCAUUCCUGACGCUGAGGCACGAAAGCCAGGGGAGCGAACGGGAUUAGAUACCCCGGUAGUCCUGGCCGUAAACGGUGAACACUAGGUGUCGGGGGUAUCGACCCCCUCGGUGCCGGAGCUAACGCGUUAAGUGUUCCGCCUGGGGAGUACGACCGCAAGGUUGAA